CCUACGGGCGGCUGCAGUGGGGAAUAUUGGGCAAUGGGCGAAAGCCUGACCCAGCAAUGCCGUGUGAGCGAUGAAGUUCUUCGGAAUGUAAAGCUCUUUUAUGAGGAAAGAAAGCUUGUAGGGUAAUAUCCUGCCUGCUUGACGGUACCUCAUGAAUAAGCCCCGGCUAACUCCGUGCCAGCAGCCGCGGUAAUACGGAGGGGGCGAGCGUUGUUCGGAAUCACUGGGCGUAAAGGGCGCGUAGGCGGUCAUGUAUGUCAGGUGUGAAAUCCCUAGGCUUAACUUAGGAAUUGCGCUUGAAACUGCAUGGCUAGAGGCUGGGAGAGGAAAGUGGAAUUCCUGGUGUAGCGGUGAAAUGCGUAGAUAUCAGGAGGAACACCGGUGGCGAAAGCGGCUUUCUGGACCAGUUCUGACGCUGAGGCGCGAAAGCGUGGGGAGCAAACGGGCUUAGAUACCCCUGUAGUC
rnacentral:rRNA from 1 species